UUUUAUAACAAAGUGUAACUUUCAUAGAUAAAUUAAGAGAACAAGUACAUUAGGUGGGUUGGGCAAGUUUCCAACCAAAUAACAGGUUCCACAACUUUUAAAGCUAAACCAACUAAAGUAUGAGCAAUACUACUACAGCUUCUGGGGGCAUGUUGACAAAUGACAUGGUUCAGUCUUUUCAGCCUUCCAUGAACUUCUGAGAUAGUCCAAAAAAUCUCCACUUUGCUACUCUUCUUUUUUGUGAUUAAAUUCACCACUUUUUGGCAAUUUGAUUCAAUUAAUCAGUGGGAUGCAUGCUGCAUUUUCUGCAAUUUCCAGCCCCCAAUUUGCUACUUCAGCUUCUGCAGAUGCUAUACUGCCAUAAUAUCUAGACUUUUUCAUAGCAGCAGUUAUAAACUCUCCUUUGUCGUUUCUGAUGGCAAUUCCCAGUCCAACCAAUUGGUCUUUCGUCUUGAUUGCUGCAUCCACAUUCAUUCUAAACCAGCCUUCAGGAGGUGGUUUCCAACUUGGCUGAGUAGGGGCUGCCUAAUAAUGUGGAUUAUCUUGCCUUUGGGGGGAUUUGACUCUUCUAUACGAUUCCACAGUUGCUUCAGCUUUAGCUACUCAUAUCGGUCAAAUAAAAACUUAUUUGGUGUGAGGGCUGUUACUUACAGAAUCUGUAAGGUAGCCCUCUCCUAAAAAAGUGACACCGCUUAAUGAUUUAGAUAUUAAAUUAAUUAUUAUUAAAAUAGCCUAUGUCGGUAUUAGAAGUCAUUCAGUUAGGACUGGGUAAACAGGGGUGGAGACAAAGAAGUGCCGAGAUUCUGAUCUUACUACAGCCCAAAUUUGUCCCACAAAGUUGGCCCUCAUUGGUAGAAGAUGGGCCCACUUCGCACCAACUCGGUGUCUCCUUUGCUCUCUUUCUUUUCUCUUCCCUAUUGGGAACUCGUUGCGUCAUUCACACCAAUGCUAUAUGUACCAACAUCCACAAACUUAUCCUUGGAACUAAGGAUUACAACCUUUGAACCUGCAUCAUGAGAAGACCAUUCGUGUAGAUGAUGGGUUGGAAACAAGAGGGGAUGCCUAGAUACAUAAACACUAGUGUCUCCGAGUCAACCUUCACUUAAGCCCUUUUCUACCCAGAUACAAUUUUCUUACGAGUAUCAUCAUCAAUUGUAAACUUGUAAAACACAUACUUUCCUUCUUCAACCAUUCCAGAUUCCGACUUUCCAAAUAGAAGCGGCUUAAGCGUACACUGAUCUGUCCCCGCUGACAUGUCAUCUGGACUCACUAUAUUAACCUCAAUAUCUGUUUCCAGAACAGAUACGCUUGAAGAGGGUUUCAACUCAAGAACUUUUAACUUGUAUGCCAACUCCCUAUAAUUGACAGUGAGUACGUCAUCUUGAGAAAGGGUGGCAUGCUGGCGAAGGCUUGUUUCAAGAACAACCUUUUGAUUGGGUAAUUCUGCAAAACCAAUCUCCACAGGCUGAAGUUUUGCAUAAGCAAUCGAACAUAGCGAACUUCAACAAACGAAUUGUUUGGAGUAUCACUGGGGAAUUCAUCAGCAGUGAACUCCAAAACAUCUGAAUGAGUGCUCCUAUUACUUUCUUUCUCGCCAUCUACCAUAUUCGAUGGACCUUCUUGGUGACGCACUGAUAAGUUGAAAUGCAGAGGAACUUUAUCAAAUGCACCUUGACCAGACAAUUCAGUGAAACGGGACGGAGGCAAUUUGAUCUUAUCUCCGCUGCCCUGAAAAGGCAAUCUUAUCUUCCAACAAGUUGUUUUAAGUGAUUGAUUUUGACUGAUUAUCGUCUCUCACGAUCUUCU
rnacentral:lncRNA from 1 species